rnacentral:tRNA from 1 species
GGGCAAGUAACUCAGCGGCAGAGUACUGCGCUUACAUCGCAGGAGUCACAGGUUCAAAUCCUGUCUUGCCCA